GGCACACUCCCACAGGAUCCAUCCUCAGCAAGCUGAAAGACCUGACUCUUGGCUGCAUGUUCUCUAAAUCUGGGAUUUCUGAGCAUGUCAGCCCCUCCAUCUGGACUUCUAUCCCAAGCCAGAAAAAUAUCACUGCGAUGGCCUUGUUGACCUCAGUCUAAGGGAACAUGAGAAUUCUCCUGGGAGCUGAAACACGCCUGGCUGUUGAGCAAAGAACCCACGAAGGGUAGAGAGAAAGAGUAUGCCCUUAUCUCGUGACCAUGGCAUCUGAUGUUGCAAACAGUGGAGUUGGGGAUGAACUGUGCACUGGUCCUAACCUUUGGCAAGUUUCCAAUCUUCUACUUGAAACAGAUAAAUAAAUCAAUCUCUUGAAUCACUAUUA